GUUUGAGCGUGAGGAUAAGAGAAUAGGGGAGUGGGUGUUUUGGCUGGGCUUUUAUAGCCCGAUCAAACCCUUUGACCCGACUUUACCCUCAGUUCACAUUCACGCGUGUUGUGUUUGACAGAGUCAUUUGGUUACAAAGAUAUAAAACUUUUAACAAUGGAUCUCUUGGUUCUCGCAACGAUGAAGAACGCAGUAAAGUGCGAUAUUUAGUGCGAUUUGCAUGAAUCUGUGAGUCAUCGAGUUUUUGAACGCAUCUUGCGCCUGCAAAGGCAUGUCCUUUUGAGUACCGAUAAACCCUUGUUGACAAAUGUCCUUGACCUUGUCUAAAUGUGUAUUGUAUCUUCAUUUGGGGGUAGUGCCAAGUUGUGCCAAUCUAUACCAGUUUGGCUCGCAACUAGCUAUCCCUAGUGUCUAAACCCGGUCUCAGAGUGGCAAGAUUACCCGCUGAACUUAAGCAUAUCA
rnacentral:rRNA from 1 species